AUUCUUCUUUUUUAACGAUAGGUCCAAAUUGAUGUUGAGAAUUUUGUGAGCUCAUUCCGGCCUGAUAUAAUGGAGGCAGUCUAUGCCUGGGCUAAAGGAUCCAAAUUCUAUGAGAUCAUGGAAAUUACACAGGUUUUUGAGGGAAGUUUGAUCAGGGCUAUUAGGAGAUUGGAAGAAGUCCUUCAGCAACUCAUUCUCGCAGCUAAAUCUAUUGGGGAAAUAGAGCUUGAAUCUAAGUUUGAAGACGCUGUCUCCAUGAUUAAAAGGGAUAUUGUCUUUGCUGCAUCAUUAUACUUAUAAUCUCUGAACCAUAUUUGUCUUCGUUUGCUUGGCGCAUGAAAAAGAAGCCACUACGCCUUGGCUACAGCCCAGAAGUCAAGUCGAGAGCUUGAAUUUCAGAUGGAAAAAGCUACUCCAACAUGUACGACAGCUCCAAGUAAUGCAAUAAUUAUAAUGCAACACCUACAGACUAGAGUCGAUUAAGAGGUGCUUCUGUUAACUUAUUUGAUGAUCCAUAGCCUACCAGAAUCUAGUUAAUCAAUUUUGUUAGAUUUUUAAUUUUUAAUUUGUACCAAUACUAAACUUGAUAAUGUAUAUUCUAUCCUCAAGGUGAAUGGAAUCUGUUAUUGUACCGUUUUUGCAAAUUUUCUUCCUUUUGUUGUGCAUCAUAACGCUCAUCUUCCAGUCACUAUCGUAACAACAUCAAGACUCAGGAUUUAUCCU